rnacentral:misc_RNA from 1 species
GCAAGUGGUGAGGAGCGAGAAAAGAUUUACGAGGAGUGUGUGGUGGGGCGGCGGCAGUGCGCAUGCCCGCCACUGCGCCACUGAGCGCGCGCUCCCCCUGGCGGCGCGGCGCCGCAGUGAGUUGCGUAACAAAAGCACACUCGGCUCCCGACGCUACGCUGAAAACUUUCGGCCGCACGGCCCGCGCCUACGGGAUGGAGAAACGUAAAAUCAUAUAAAACUUUUCCGCGGUGCGCGCCGUUUGACUCGCUAAAACUCUUCCUAUCUAAUUGGAUAGUCCUGGUCGCGGUCGGAUCGUCGCUUCUGCUUAUUUUUAAGUUGUUAAAGUUUUUCCCGUCAAGUUGACUGUGGCGAAAAGUGAACUGUUGCGGUUUUCGCCGGCCGCUUUUAUAAUAGUGUGGACGUUCUGAGUGUUGUGUUCACUUGCUUUGUUUUUCUUUGCUCGACGGCGAGUGGUGGCGCCCUGGCGGUGGUCUGCUGGUGGGAAUCGAUACUGCGGUGGGAGCGGCGAAGAUAGUUGGCGCGACAUGUUGUGGCGAACAGAGAGGACGCGGGCCGGUUGAUCCAUCUCUCCACAUGCCGACAGAGCUCUGCAGUCAGCAGAAAGAUGUCCUAAUAUGGGUUGGUCAUGCGUCGUGGCACGCGUUGUGGCCAUCUUCCUCAUGCUCAGCCGAGCAUCAGCCCUCACAUCAGACAUAUUUGCAGCGGGAAAGUCGGACAAAGAGAUACUGGACAACCUUCUGAAAAACUCCCGCUAUGACAAAAGACUGCUGCCACCAGUAGAUGAUCCAGAAUUCUGUUGUGGUCUAACUUCGCCCAACGACUCUCUGGCUCAAAAUAAUGUUGGGCUCUCGUCUCUGCGGCCUCGCUCGCACAAUCGUGGUGUCCUCACCGUAAAUGUAAGCGUACUACUUCUUAGCUUAGCCUCUCCAGACGAAUCUAGUCUUAAAUACGAAGUGGAAUUCUUACUUCAGCAGCAGUGGUACGACCCUCGACUGCGCUAUUCCAACCAGUCCCAUUACGACUUCCUUAACGCCAUCCAUCAUCACGAAGAUAUCUGGUUGCCGGAUACUUAUUUCAUCAUGCACGGUGACUUUAAGGAGUUUUCCCAGCACUCAUGGGACCCGAUAAUACCGAUGCAUUUCGCUUUGCGAAUAUAUCGCAAUGGUACUAUAAACUAUUUGAUGCGGCGGCAUCUCAUCCUGUCGUGUCAGGGACGGCUCAACAUCUUUCCUUUUGAUGACCCAUUGUGUUCAUUUGCCUUAGAAAGUAUAUCGUACGAGCAGUCAGCCAUCACCUACGUGUGGAAGAACGACGAAGACACGCUGCGCAAGUCGCCGUCACUGACGACUCUCAAUGCAUACCUCAUCCAGAAUCAAACCAUUCCCUGCCCUAUCAAAGCCAGUUGGAGAGCUGAGGGUAAUUCACUUUACGAGGAAGACGAAGAGAUGACAUGUAAUCUUUGCCAGAGACGCUUUGAGGAGCAAGGUAACUACAGCUGUCUAAAGGUCGACUUAAUAUUUACUAGAGACCGAGCGUUCUACUUUACUACAGUAUUUAUCCCUGGAAUAAUUCUGGUGACCUCUUCCUUCAUCACGUUUUGGCUGGAAUGGAAUGCAGUACCAGCCCGUUCUAUGAUAGGUAAUUACAGCUGCCUCAAAGUGGAUCUUAUCUUCACGCGGGAUAGAUCAUUUUACUUCACCACAGUUUUCAUUCCGGGGAUCAUUUUGGUGACAUCAUCGUUUAUUACUUUUUGGCUGGAAUGGAAUGCAGUGCCUGCUAGAGUAAUGAUAGGUGUAACAACGAUGUUGAAUUUUUUCACUACAUCGAAUGGAUUCAGAUCGACAUUGCCAGUGGUGUCGAACCUGACAGCGAUGAACGUGUGGGACGGCGUGUGCAUGUGUUUUAUCUAUGCGUCCUUACUAGAGUUCGUGUGUGUCAACUACGUGGGUAGGAAACGACCCCUACACAACGUCGUGUACCGACCCGGUGAAAAUCCAGUCACACAGGAGGCGAUGGCUUUCCUCCAAUGGGCCAGACAAGAGCCUCAAGUGGAGAGUAGCAGCGCUGUAAGUGACGUCACUGAGAAUGACAAUAGUUAGCCCCACAUCACCAGCAUCAUUACUUCUGAGACUGAUAUCAUGAAAACUAACGCAUUAUUUUCUUUAACGCUGCUUCGGAACGCUACAGCCUGGUGAUAAAAAGCGUGAGUCUACAGGAGGAGCGGACCUAGUGUCUUGUACAGCGUGCACGGGUCCCGGCGCCUGCACGCACACCGCCAACAAUGGCGGCGUCUCGGAGCCAUGUUUCGUCCAGGUUCGCAAAAAAGAACCA